UACGGAGGGAGCUAGCGUUGUUCGGAAUUACUGGGCGUAAAGCGCGCGUAGGCGGCUUUGCAAGUUAGAGGUGAAAGCCCGGGGCUCAACCCCGGAACUGCCUUUAAGACUGCAUCGCUUGAAUCCGGGAGAGGUGAGUGGAAUUCCGAGUGUAGAGGUGAAAUUCGUAGAUAUUCGGAAGAACACCAGUGGCGAAGGCGGCUCACUGGACCGGCAUUGACGCUGAGGUGCGAAAGCGUGGGGAGCAAACAGG
rnacentral:rRNA from 1 species